GGAGGAGUGGCAGAGUGGUCGAAUGCGGCGGUCUUGAAAACCGUUAGGCCUUCACGGGUCUCGUGGGUUCGAAUCCUACCUCCUCCG
rnacentral:tRNA from 2 species